rnacentral:lncRNA from 1 species
UCCUAGCCUCAGUUUCCAUAUCUGUCAAAAUGAGGUGGUUGGAUUAGAUGGCCUCUAAGGUUCUUUCUAUGUCAAAAGCUGUGACUUUGAGAGUAAUGGAGUAUUUUGAUUUUAAAGAUCUUGCCAUAAGCCCCCAGUGACUCCAUUAUUUCCAUUGUGAGUCAUGGCUCUGGAGAUGAGGACCUCUUUUCUUAUUGGUCAGCUUCCUUCCCCACAGUGGACCCCAUGGCUGCUGCCUCUGUGUCUGCUCUUCCAUCUCUUUUUUAAUUUCUGCUGUGGGCAAAGAGCACUUUGGAUUUCUCCCAUCAUCUGAUCCUCUCAAAUAUUUCCCUUUCAUUAAUGUUUCCUCAGGAGUUCAGCAGCACCCCAACAAGGCAAGACUUUCUUUGAUGAACUGAAGAUGGCAUAUGACUUCCCACCGAAUUCUAACAACAUAGACAGAAGGGGAAAUGAAUAUCUAAUAAGGGAAAUGAGAAGAAAGCUGUUUGGAAGGAGGGGGCCUUUCCUGUUGCCCACGGCGACUCUACUUGGUAAGAGCUGGGUCAGAAGUUUGGUGCCCAUUUCUGGACAAUGGUCAGCUCAUGCCUCAUGCAGUCGAUGUGUGUGUUCCUGAGACUUGUGUGUAAAGAUCAUUUAAACACAAAUUGAUCUUUGGUAAACUGAACCAUAAUCUCCCACUGGUCUCCAUUAUCCUUUCAGCAAUGGCUCAUCUUCCUCUCUGAUUGAUUUUCCAUUGGCAGUGGCUCUCAAGGCUUUGGCUUGCAGCUUCUCUGUUUCCAGUCUCUCCCCAGUAGUUAAUGGUCUGUAAACUAACACUUAAAUGUGCUGCCGGAGAUGCCUACCCCCCAACCCCCAGUGCUAUUAUGAGUAAUGGCAAGAGUCCUUUUAGAAUAAUCAUGUAGUAAAUAUUCUGUUUUGUCCAUAUGGCUUUUCAGACAUUGACUGGCCUGGUGGGCUAUUUCUAUCAG